rnacentral:rRNA from 1 species
AGUGGGGAAUAUUGCACAAUGGGCGAAAGCCUGAUGCAGCGACGCCGCGUGAGGGACGAAGGCCUUCGGGUUGUAAACCUCUUUCAGCAGGGAAGAAGCGAAAGUGACGGUACCUGCAGAAGAAGCACCGGCUAACUACGUGCCAGCAGCCGCGGUAAUACGUAGGGUGCAAGCGUUGUCCGGAAUUAUUGGGCGUAAAGAGCUCGUAGGCGGUCUGUCGCGUCUGCUGUGAAAACUCAGGGCUUAACCCUGAGCCUGCAGUGGGUACGGGCAGACUAGAGUGCGGUAGGGGAGAUCGGAAUUCCUGGUGUAGCGGUGGAAUGCGCAGAUAUCAGGAGGAACACCGGUGGCGAAGGCGGAUCUCUGGGCCGUAACUGACGCUGAGGAGCGAAAGCAUGGGGAGCGAA